UGGGGAAUUUUGGACAAUAGGCGAAAGCCUGAUCCAGCAAUGCCGCGUGAGUGAAGAAGGCCUUCGGGUUGUAAAGCUCUUUUGUCAGGGAAGAAACGGUGAAAGCUAAUAUCUCUUGCUAAUGACGGUACCUGAAGAAUAAGCACCGGCUAACUACGUGCCAGCAGCCGCGGUAAUACGUAGGGUGCGAGCGUUAAUCGGAAUUACUGGGCGUAAAGCGUGCGCAGGCGGUUAUGUAAGACAGAUGUGAAAUCCCCGGGCUCAACCUGGGAACUGCGUUUGUGACUGCAUAACUAGAGUACGGCAGAGGGAGGUGGAAUUCCGCGUGUAGCAGUGAAAUGCGUAGAUAUGUGGAGGAACACCGAUGGCGAAGGCAGCCCCCUGGGUCAAGAUUGACGCUCAUGCACGAAAGCGUGGGGAGCAAACA
rnacentral:rRNA from 1 species